UCCCUUGUGGCUCAGCUGGUAAAGAAUCCACCUUCAAGGUGGAAGUUCUGGGUUCUAUCCCUGGCUUGGGAA
rnacentral:tRNA from 1 species